CGAGCGAACAGACGAGGAGCUUGCUCCUCUGACGUUAGCGGCGGACGGGUGAGUAACACGUGGAUAACCUACCUAUAAGACUGGGAUAACUUCGGGAAACCGGAGCUAAUACCGGAUAAUAUAUUGAACCGCAUGGUUCAAUAGUGAAAGACGGUUUUGCUGUCACUUAUAGAUGGAUCCGCGCCGCAUUAGCUAGUUGGUAAGGUAACGGCUUACCAAGGCAACGAUGCGUAGCCGACCUGAGAGGGUGAUCGGCCACACUGGAACUGAGACACGGUCCAGACUCCUACGGGAGGCAGCAGUAGGGAAUCUUCCGCAAUGGGCGAAAGCCUGACGGAGCAACGCCGCGUGAGUGAUGAAGGUCUUCGGAUCGUAAAACUCUGUUAUUAGGGAAGAACAAAUGUGUAAGUAACUAUGCACGUCUUGACGGUACCUAAUCAGAAAGCCACGGCUAACUACGUGCCAGCAGCCGCGGUAAUACGUAGGUGGCAAGCGUUAUCCGGAACUAUUGGGCGUAAAGCGCGCGUAGGCGGUUUUUUAAGUCUGAUGUGAAAGCCCACGGCUCAACCGUGGAGGGUCAUUGGAAACUGGAAAACUUGAGUGCAGAAGAGGAAAGUGGAAUUCCAUGUGUAGCGGUGAAAUGCGCAGAGAUAUGGAGGAACACCAGUGGCGAAGGCGACUUUCUGGUCUGUAACUGACGCUGAUGUGCGAAAGCGUGGGGAUCAAACA
rnacentral:rRNA from 1 species